AGCUCCAAUAGCGUAUAUUAAAGUUGUUGCAGUUAAAAAGCUCGUAGUUGAAUUUCUGAUAGAAGGGAGCGGUUCCGCAUUCUUGCGGAUACUGGCUCGUCUUCCGUCAUCCUUGGGCUUAGUCUCGCUGAUAUUAACUUAUCGGCGUGGACGCAUGCCCAUCGUUUACUGUGAGCAAAUUAGAGUGUUCAAAGCAGGCAUUUUGCCAUUGAAUAUAUUAGCAUGGAAUAAUAAGAUAGGAUUUCACGAUUUUAUUUUGUUGGUUUGCGUUGUGAAAUAAUGAUUAAGAGGGACAGUUGUGGGUAUUCGUAUUCAGAUGUCAGAGGUGAAAUUCUUAGAUUAUCGGAAGACGAACGACUGCGAAAGCAUUUACCAAGGAUGUUUUCA
rnacentral:rRNA from 1 species